rnacentral:rRNA from 1 species
UACGUAGGGUGCGAGCGAUGUCCGGAAUUAUUGGGCGUAAAGAGCUUGUAGGCGGUCUGUCGCGUCUGCUGUGAAAAUCCGGGGCUCAACCCCGGACUUGCAGUGGGUACGGGCAGACUGGAGUGCGGUAGGGGAGAAUGGAAUUCCUGGUGUAGCGGUGGAAUGCGCAGAUAUCAGGAGGAACACCGAUGGCGAAGGCAGUUCUCUGGGCCGUAACUGACGCUGAGGAGCGAAAGCGUGGGGAGCGAACAGG